rnacentral:siRNA from 1 species
UGCCCGUUGCUCUGAUGA